UACGUAGGGGUCGAGCAUUGUCCGGAGUUACUGGGCGUAAAGCGUGCGCAGGCGGUUUGUUAAGUCAGAUGUGAAAUCCCCGGGCUCAACCUGGGAAUGGCAUUUGAGACUGGCAGGCUAGAGUGUGUCAGAGGGGGGUAGAAUUCCACGUGUAGCAGUGAAAUGCGUAGAGAUGUGGAGGAACACCGAUGGCGAAGGCAGCCCCCUGGGAUAACACUGACGCUCAUGCACGAAAGCGUGGGGAGCAAACAGG
rnacentral:rRNA from 1 species